CCAGGCUGAGUUAGCUCUCCAGCUCCCUAGGUGAGACAAGUCACCACACGGUCAGCUCUGCUCUGGCUGCUAGUCCAGGCCUGCUGUGAGCAGUGUGUCUGGACACUGGGCUGGGAGACUACAGUUUGGAUGUUAGUGUAGUUGUGUAACCUGCACCUUGAGCCCUGCACCCCUUUGUGGGGAGGGGAAAUCCUGGGACUGAAGCAGCCCGACUCCUGCCUGAAGAGGAUCCCUGCCAGCAGAGAUCAGCCCCUCUGCAGUGACUGAGGAGUCCAGAGUCAGCUCUGAACCUGAGGAUCAUUCAUGGAGUUUGAUAAUUGCUGACAAGUGUUGCUCCUGACGGAGGUGGUUUUAUGUGCGCUCAGCCCCUAAUCAAGCAGCCUUUUGUGCACCAGACCAGACUGUCAAUCAGGCUUCCAGAGUGCAAUCACUUCUCAUCUAUCAGUGGAGCUUUCAUUCUGGUGUCUCUGGGCUGGAGGGCUAGAGCGAGCUCGGCACAUAGAUCGAUGAACGUGGCCUUUUGCACCCAAAAGUUCUGCAGCCACUGCUCGUUGUCCCAAACUUGCAUUAUGACUUGUGCCCAUCAUCUGCAGCUGCUCCGCAAAUGCCACCAUCAACCCUGAGUUGUUUUUCCACCAUAUCCCUUAACAGUCUGUCCUCAAAGAAAUUGUCACCUCCCCCAUUGUUGCAGUUCUUCCUGCAGCUAUGCAAAUACCGGAGGAUUAUGUGUACUGUAUUUACAACAUUUGUGAGACUAGUGCAGAAUUCUGAGGGCAUCAUGCUUCUGUCAGAGACGGCAGGCAGAGAGAAGUGCCACACGGGUUUGUGGGAUUUUUUUUUUUUAAAAAGGCAUGACAAUUAUGGAAUAGGAUGGCAUUAUGGAAUGGAAAAAGUUACAUUCUGGGAACUUGACCCCUAGCUCCCAGAGAUCCCUGGACAACUCAUUUCUACCCCUAAGAAUUGCAAAGUUUCCAAAAGGCAUCGCGCCAGACAGCGGAGUAUGGCACACUGGGAUACCAACCGGUGGUGCACUGCACUUUGUAUUGACACAAGCAUUCCUGGUGAGUAUGCACAGCACCAAUGCAGACAGCCAAGCAAAAAACAAACGUUGACAGCUGGGUGCCAACAUAAUUUGCAUCAACACAAGUUUGUAGCAUAAAACUCAUUCAGUGUUUCAAAUGAACUUCAAACUAGAACGUUUCCAGUCAGAGGGCAAAAAGCAUAUUCCAGAACUAGCCGACAUUAGUUGUACUUUAAUGUCACUUUCUCCACUUCCUCAAAUACCUAUAUUGAAUGCUCUCAUGGGAGAGUAACAAGGACCAAAUAAUUCAAUGUGCCCCGAACUCAUGAGAGCAAGAUUUCCACUCCCAAGUGCUAUGCCAGCUGCGAAUGUUUAGAUUCGACGCUAGAUAGCUAUUUUGAGUUCUUGUGGGAACAAAUUUUGAUCCAAAAAAACAUUAGAAGCCAUCACAAGAGACCAGUUGACAAAAGAUACACUUUUAAAGUUGGUUGGUGCAGAAUCUCUCUUAUUUAAGGCCUGGUCUACACAGAUUUUGCACUGGUAUAACUAUUUGUUAGUGGUAUGAGUAUAAAUAAAAAGUUACUAGUACAACCCUAGUGUGGAUGCAAUUAAACUGAUGUAAGAUAUCUUAUACAGUAUAGCGUAUUCCCUUUGUUGUACAGGAAUAAACUAUACCAAUAUACUGGUAUACGGGUGCCUUAUAACUCCCCGCUAGGGAGCUUGUGUAGCUUUAACUGUACCAGUAUAGUUAAAAUAGAAUAACUUUUGUAUUUAGACAACCCUCAUUACCCUUUGCUACAAAACGAUAGCAAGAACACAGUAUAAAAACAAACAACAAAUUACUUGGCUCUAAAGCAAUCCAGAUAAUAUUUAUUUGCACUGAGUGGCUAUUGAUUCUGUGUACACAGUGGCAUUCAGCUGGAGGGGGGAGGGGAAGGGUCAUGUCAUCAUCCCUUCCUAAUUAGGAGGCACACAGGAUGCUGCUGUGCAUAGCCAUCCCUCCUCCUCAUCCUGCUGGGAAAGAAAAAAAAUCACCUUCUGAUCCUGUGAGAGGCUGGAAAAAGAACAUCCAGAUUGCUUUGGAGGCUGGAGAGAAUGUGCACUGAAGAACUGGGAUUUCAUUUGGGCAGGUGGAUUAAGGAAAGCAUAGUAGAAAAAUAUUAGGGGCCCAUAAACUAAACAGAGCAGGGGGAAAGCAGGGAGACCGAAAAUCAGAAGAUACUAUGGAAGGCCAAGGAGAAUACAUGCCUGAGGUUUGGCGGUUGGGCAGAAAACUAUUGCUGGGUGGGGCUGUUAAGCAUAAUGUCUAUACAAUGUAAGAAAAAGAUGUUAAGAUAAACACAGACUUUAGAGCGUGGGUGGCAUGGCAGCACUCACUGACCUCACAUUUUAAAAAUCUGAUGAAUUAAAGAUAUACCUUGGCCUUACGAUUUAAAUUAUUUCUAUUGUAUUAUGUUUACUUUCUAUUGGGGCAGCCCCUUUAAAUUAUUUUCUUACCAAAUGCAAGGUAAGCAAGCACCCUCCUCUCACUGCUGGGUUUCUAGGCAGUUCUGCAUGUCAACAAUUAAACAACUGAUGCUGCCAGAUAGUCAGUGUUGACAGAUCAUUAAGCCAGUAGCAAUCCUGUGUGUCUCCAGUUGUUUUUAUUCAACUGGUUUAAGACAGAUUUUUGUGCAACUGAUGCAACUUUUGUGCUUAGACAAGAUUGGAGUCUCCUCAUUUCACUUGUGACUGUGUCUUCAUGCUGCCCUUCGCUCCCAAAAUAGCCUUCCUCCUUGUACAUACCUAGAGGUUUCGUUCUCCUCAACACUCACUCCAUUCAUCUACUAUUCCAGUCCUGAACUUGGCGUGGGCACUCUCGGGGGUCAUUGCUAUACCUGAUCAAAACAAAGAUUUUACAAACAACAAAAAUAGGAAGAAGCAGAGUAGUGAAGGGGCUGAAAGUUUAGGCCAAGAAUCUUGAACUUUGUAAGAUAAAGUGGGGAGUCAGUGGAAGCAUUCAGGGACUGGGACAAUGAGCAAGUAAGAGACAGCUGCCAAGAUCAUUUUGUAUAAACAGAAGGCAACAUGGCUGUUUGGGAGGCUAGAGAAGAGUUGGCUGCAUUAAUCAUGAUGGGAAAUGAGGAGGGAUUGGACAAGAGUUUUAGCUGUCUGGAGAGAUAAUAAGAAUUGCCAUACUGAG